rnacentral:rRNA from 1 species
CGGGACGGGUGAGUAAUGUCUGGGAAACUGCCCGAUGGAGGGGGAUAACUACUGGAAACGGUAGCUAAUACCGCAUAACGUCGCAAGACCAAAGAGGGGGACCUUCGAGCCUCUUGCCAUCGGAUGUGCCCAGAUGGGAUUAGCUAGUAGGUGGGGUAACGGCUCACCUAGGCGACGAUCCCUAGCUGGUCUGAGAGGAUGACCAGCCACACUGGAACUGAGACACGGUCCAG